UCGUUCUCCUCCACCCCGCGCCGCCUCUCAGCCAUCCCGCCGUCGCCCGCGUGCGCGCCGUCCUCCGGCGCCCACGUGCUGCCCCUUGGCUGCUCCUCCGCCGCCCAUCCAUUUUUCCGCCGCCGCGGUUCGCACAAGGAGCGGUUCCUCCGACGAGAUCCCGCGCCAGUCCUCCUCCGAGAUUGUGCCCAACACCGGUCCUCCUCUGAUGUUCC
rnacentral:lncRNA from 1 species